rnacentral:lncRNA from 1 species
UCGAGCACCUGUGGAUCAUCCCAUUCCCCACCCCAAGAAGAUGUGAGUCGAUCGAGCACCUUCCAUUCCAUGGGGGUUGGUUUUGGUUGGUUACUUUUAAACAGAAUCAGAGGAUCCAUGUUUGUAGCCCUGAAAGAAGCUUUUUCUUUCUUUCUUUUGACAGUUAAAAACAGCAGGAGAGGCUCCUACUGGUGUUUCAUUUCCAAAAGUAUGUUACAGGGUAAUUACAAAGCCAUGGCUUGGCAAGAUGUUGGUAGAUUUGAGAUGAUUCCAUCCACAAAUGAGGAUUGUUUAGGGAGGGCUAUUCUCAUUGAGUGUUUACUUUAGCUAGGAUUGAUCUGCCUGUUGAGGUUUUUUUUUUCAUAAAACAAGUCUUUUAUUUAUUUAUUUUGUUUCCAUGUGUCGAGCGAGUAAACAAACACCGUCCAGGAACUAUUCCCCGAAAAAUUUCUCUAGCAUGAUUUCAAAUGCUUGCUUGCUCCCAACAAAUUCCUAUCAGCGGAUAUUAAUUUUUGGAAGCUGUUUGUUAUGGUGCUUCUAUGUGUCCUCCC